GACGAACGCUGGCGGCGUGCCUAAUACAUGCAAGUCGAGCGCAGGAAGUCAUCCGAACCCUUCGGGGGGACGUUGACGGAAUGAGCGGCGGACGGGUGAGUAACACGUAAAGAACCUGCCCUCAGGCCUGGGAUAACCACGAGAAAUCGGGGCUAAUACCGGAUGGGUCAUCGGACCGCAUGGUCCGAGGAUGAAAGGCGCUCCGGCGUCGCCUGGGGAUGGCUUUGCGGUGCAUUAGCUAGUUGGUGGGGUAAUGGCCCACCAAGGCGACGAUGCAUAGCCGACCUGAGAGGGUGAUCGGCCACACUGGGACUGAGACACGGCCCAGACUCCUACGGGAGGCAGCAGUAGGGAAUUUUCCACAAUGGACGAAAGUCUGAUGGAGCAACGCCGCGUGAACGAUGAAGGCCCUCGGGUCGUAAAGUUCUGUUGUAAGGGAAGAACAAGUGCCGCAGGCAAUGGCGGCACCUUGACGGUACCUUGCGAGAAAGCCACGGCUAACUACGUG
rnacentral:rRNA from 1 species